UACGUAGGGUGCGAGCGUUGUCCGGAAUUAUUGGGCGUAAAGAGCUCGUAGGCGGUUUGUCGCGUCUGCUGUGAAAACUGGAGGCUCAACCUCCAGCCUGCAGUGGGUACGGGCAGACUAGAGUGCGGUAGGGGAGAUUGGAAUUCCUGGUGUAGCGGUGAAAUGCGUAGAGAUCGGGAAGAACAUCAGUGGCGAAGGCGGCCUGCUGGGCUGUUGCUGACGCUGAGGCGCGACAGCGUGGGGAGCAAACAGG
rnacentral:rRNA from 1 species